rnacentral:rRNA from 1 species
GCUCAGAAUGAACGCUGGCGGCAUGCCUAACACAUGCAAGUCGAACGAAUGCCCUUCGGGGUGUUAGUGGCGCACGGGUGCGUAACGCGUGGGAAUCUGCCCUUGGGUUCGGAAUAACAGUUGGAAACGACUGCUAAUACCGGAUGAUGACGUAAGUCCAAAGAUUUAUCGCCCAGGGAUGAGCCCGCGUAGGAUUAGGUAGUUGGUGUGGUAAAGGCGCACCAAGCCGACGAUCCUUAGCUGGUCUGAGAGGAUGAUCAGCCACACUGGGACUGAGACACGGCCCAGACUCCUACGGGAGGCAGCAGUGGGGAAUAUUGGACAAUGGGCGAAAGCCUGAUCCAGCAAUGCCGCGUGAGUGAUGAAGGCCUUAGGGUUGUAAAGCUCUUUUACCCGGGAUGAUAAUGACAGUACCGGAGAA